CCAAAAUUCACCCGAAGACCUGAUGGCAUCAUUAAUGUUGAUUGGGCCAUAAGCACGUGCCAGAGGCAGCGUGUGGAGCCGGGCCAGGGCAUCCCAAUGCCCACCCCGAAAGAAAAGAAAAAGAAAAGGACAAACAAUAAUCCUGGGGCACAACUGGCUCUCCUUUGGACUCCAACUCAAGUAGCUACAGAUUGUGGCUUUGCAAUUCUUUGGAAAAAUAAGUCCGGCAAAACGAAAUGGUGUGGGCUAAAGCAUGCUUAGAUGGCGGUGGAAACCUUUGUCUUGAAGAAUCUGGAGUUACCAAAGGCAGAAGCAUGGAAACAUGCCCGCUUUGAAGAGCUGACGAGAGUCUUUCCUGGCAAACUGCCUGGCUUUUGGUGGAUCUCUCCCUUCUCUAAAAUCUCCUGGAGGUUUCGUCAUUGGAGAAAGUCACGUCAUGUGUGUUUGUAAGCUGAAUUCCAGCAGGAAAAGCACGUCAAGUGUUCAGCCCGGUGCUUGGCACAUUGUAAACAGCCCUUACGCCCAUGACCGGAAUCCCUGGUGUGCUUGUCAGUUUCCCUCACUUGCUUGAAAGUUCCCCGAGGACCUCGGUGCCCGACGCCUAGUGAGUCCUCAGUGAACGCCCU